CCUACGGGUGGCUGCAGUGGGGAAUAUUGGACAAUGGGCGAAAGCCUGAUCCAGCCAUGCCGCGUGUGUGAAGAAGGCCUUCGGGUUGUAAAGCACUUUCAGUGGGGAAGAAAGCCUUGGGGCUAAUACCCUCGAGGAAGGACAUCACCCACAGAAGAAGCACCGGCUAACUCCGUGCCAGCAGCCGCGGUAAUACGGAGGGUGCGAGCGUUAAUCGGAAUUACUGGGCGUAAAGCGCGCGUAGGCGGUCUGAUAAGCCGGUUGUGAAAGCCCCGGGCUCAACCUGGGAACGGCAUCCGGAACUGUCAGGCUAGAGUGCAGGAGAGGAAGGUAGAAUUCCCGGUGUAGCGGUGAAAUGCGUAGAGAUCGGGAGGAGUACCAGUGGCGAAGGCGGCCUUCUGGACUGACACUGACGCUGAGGUGCGAAAGCGUGGGUAGCAAACAGGAUUAGAUACCCCAGUAGUC
rnacentral:rRNA from 1 species